rnacentral:misc_RNA from 1 species
CCCUUGUGGAGGAGGACGCCGAAGGUGGGGCUAAUGACUGGGGUGAAGUCGUAACAAGGUAGCCGUACCGGAAGGUGCGGCUGGAUCACCUCCUAACAGGGAGACAACAAAAUGUUUAAUAUUAUUAUUUUGUCACCUUAGGUCGAUCGGUAUCUCACAUUCUUAAAUCUAUUAAGGAUUUCAUUUCCUAAGUUUUUCUAGGUCACACCCAUUAUUUUCCCUGGGCCAUUAGCUCAGGUGGUUAGAGCGCACCCCUGAUAAGGGUGAGGUCCCUGGUUCAAGUCCAGGAUGGCCCAUAUCUCUAUGUUGGGGGUAUAGCUCAGUUGGUAGAGCGCCUGCUUUGCAAGCAGGAUGUCAGCGGUUCGAGUCCGCUUACCUCCACUGAUUACCACCUCUUCCAUAAUUUACAGAAAGGGAAUUCUUUGAGUUGUGAUCAAAUUCUGAACGAAUCUAGCUUCCUAAUGAAAACAUUAAGAUGCUGGACUCAUUGAAUUAAUUUCAUUGUUUUCAGAGAACCUUGACAACUGCAUAGAUUAUUUUUAAAGACAAUAAGCAUUUUUAUGAUGCAGAUUUAUUAUUUGUGCGAAUGCAUUAAUAACAAUUCUAUUAAGCUGAUGCUUCAAUUAUUGAAGUUAUUGGUCAAGCUACAAAGGGCUCACGGAGGAUACCUAGGCACAC